GGCCCGCGCUCCCCCACCGCCUCUUGGGCGUGUUUUCUGCAGGUCGACGUUGGAGCUCCCUCAGUGGCCGCGUGUCCUGUCACUGGCAGCAAGACUGUUCGGGUCCACAUCUAAUCCGAGCCCCUGCUGCCAGAGGAAGCAAAGCAGCAGGUGCUGCUGGAAUCCAGCUGCAUGCCAGGCCCCAUCGUGCAAGAAGAGAUUUGGGCUCUCCGGAGAGAUGGGCGUUCCAUCAGCAGAUCCCUCCUGGAGCACCUUUCUUCCCUUCGUUCUCCACGGAAAGCGGCAGGUCACGAGUUUCUCCUGCUUAUCUCAACUGUCAGACAAGCAUGAUUACCUCCUCUUCUAAACAAAUUUGACUUGUAAUACUCAGAAGAACCUUACCCUGCUGUAUUUAAAAAAAAAAAAAAAAAAAAAAAAAUCAAAACAGAAGAUGGAGCCAGAGAGCAACGUUUUUGAGCUAAUUGCCCAGGAGAUGGAAGGGAAUUCAUUGGCUGCAGUCCACAGGAUUUAACCAAGACUAUAGAUGAAGAGUUGGAAAAAGUGCACUGGGGCUCUGGUGUAAGGUACCAGGGACAUGGAAAGUGGCUCUAUUGUGGUUAAAUCACAUUGGUUUAAAAUACCACUGCUUCCCCAAGGUUCACCAAACAUGUAAAUUAAGAACAACAACAAAAACUACAGAAAAAGAUAAUGGCUAACAAGCUAAUUUCAUUCUAUUCCAAUUAAAGUCAACUUGUAUUGAGAAGAACAAAUAUAUAUCAUAUAUGUAAACAUAUAUAAAAGUUUCAUUUACUUCUACUAUACCAAAAUGCCCAGUAAAACAAAUGAUGAUAAGCAAAAAUGAACUAAUAUUAACAUGAUACAAAAUAAGCUGCAUUUUGAUUUUCAGUCAGCAUUACUGACAGAUGUAUUAUUCAAGAAAGUUAAGUAAUCCACGUAUACCAUAUCAGUUACCAAACUUUAUAUGGUAAGUUCUAUAUAUUCAGAAUUUAUGUUAACCACAAUAAAGAGAAUAUUUAAAUUAUAUUAUCCUUACAUUCUAUUUCUGUAAUUGCCUGCAAGAAAUACAUGCCAAAGGAGCAUCAUAUCAUUUUUAACCCUGCACAUUUUUUUUGGAACAUAUGAAAAGAACUGAAUAAGCCUGCUUUCCACAGCAUUCAAAGUCAGUUAAAAGACUGCUAUCUUUCCAUUCUGUAAGUAUUUCUGUGCAAUUUGACCUGAAUUAAUUAAUUUCUAGUAAAUGAAGAGGAAUCCAUAUACUUUGAUAUAUUUUAGAGUUUUUUUUCUUCCAAUUAUAUGAGAAAAUACUAAAUCACUGUAACUUGGCAUCUGUAGG